GGGGGCGUAGCUCAGUUUGGUUAGAGCGUCUGCCUGUCACGCAGAAGGCCGAGGGUUCAAGUCCCUUCGCUCCCGCCA
rnacentral:tRNA from 2 species